AUGGAUGCAGGCAGGUAUGCAUUAUCAAAAGUGCUUCAGUCUUUUUUCCUCCACGAACAGAUCCGCGUGAAACAAAAAUCCUCAAAACUCUGUUAGACUUUUUCCUCCACACUUGAUGUGUCGUCCAUUGCCGGCGAUUUCCUCAACCUCCUGGGACCGCGAUUUUCGCGAGACUAUGGAGCUCCAGUUCCGGAUCUAGACUCGCCUGGAGCGGUGUGGGUGGGGGGCAUGAAGUGGCCAAAUCUGUACUCGCCUGGAUAUUCUUCUCUCCUCCAACUCGACCUCUCUCCAUGGCUGCUUCAUCCUCUGCUCAACCAACCACAAACCCGCAGGCCUCUAUUUUUUUUGUUGAUUUUUAUUUUGGUUAUAGUUCAUGGGUUGUUUGUCUGAUUUGGUUGUUAUGGAUUUGCUUUUCUCCUGUACCCUUUGUUUGGUUACAGAGAAAAUGGAAGGAAACCAAAAGAUUUAAAAUUGUGGUUUCUCAGGGUUGUUCUUUAAAGAUUUGUGGGUUGUUCUGGGUUUGCUUGUCUCUCUGUUGGUUUGGCUAUGGUUUGUAAUCCUCUUGAUUUCUCUGUUUCGUUGAUUUUGCUGUUGGUGUUUGUUUUGGUGUUUUGGACUUAUUCUGAACCAUUUAUGAGGAUACUUGCUCCAUGAGAAAAUGGUUGGCAAGGGUCUCCUUCCAAAUCUGAGGAGAAAAUGUCCAUGGGAUUAUUUGGAUUGUCAAGCAGAGUCCAUGAGAUUAUCUGGAAAAUCUUCCUGACAAAAUGGUUUUCAAGCAUAAGCUGAAAUAAAUGUAUUGAUUAGUCAAUCACAUUGAGAGAUUUCUGGUGCUUUUGGGUUGUGAUUCACGUUUGCAGUGGGAGAACAUGGUGAGAUGCAAGACUAGGCACCAGAAGCCUUUCUUAUUGCAGAUCAUUCUCAUCAAAUACUUGAUAUAUUUGAACUUUUGUAUAGUUUGAUGAGGCAGAAGGUCCUAACCCAAUAAUUGAACUUAUGGAUGUUAUUGAUGCGUUUAAAAGGGUCCUUAACCCAAGAUUUUUUGGAACUAUUCCUGGCUUUGUAUCUUUCCAGAGGUCACAUACAGUGCCAAAGUGCAUGUACUGAUAAUCUUUAACUUGGAAGAACCUUUUUGUUGUUGUAAAAAUCAUGUGUAUCUUGAUAUGGUUCUAUAUCCAAAUUGUGGUUGCCAGCUUUUUUA